GAAAAUAAAGCAAAAAUGUGAAACCCUAGCCCCCUUCUUUUUCUCUCCACCGCUUGAGAAACUAAGAGCCACUCUUCCUCAACUCCGAUUUGGACGGAGAGAAGAAGAGCUUCGACGGCGCCAAGGUAAGAACUCUCCGUCUUUUCCUUUUUUAUUUUUGAUCUAUAAAAUGCAUAUAUAAAAUAAAAUAAAAACCAAAUAACGAAAAAAAAACGAAAGAUUCGCACCUAAAAACUUUCUCAGAAUUCGAUCUAU
rnacentral:lncRNA from 1 species